rnacentral:rRNA from 1 species
AUUGAACGCUGGCGGCAGGCCUAACACAUGCCAGUCGAACGGUAACAGGAAGAAGUUUGCUUCUUUGCUGACGAGUGGCGGACGGGUGAGUAAUGUCUGGGAAACUGCCUGAUGGAGGGGGAUAACUACUGGAAACGGUAGCUAAUACCGCAUAACGUCGCAAGACCAAAGAGGGGGACCUUCGGGCCUCUUGCCAUCGGAUGUGCCCAGAUGGGAUUAGCUAGUAGGUGGGGUAACGGCUCACCUAGGCGACGAUCCCUAGCUGGUCUGAGAGGAUGACCAGCCACACUGGAACUGAGACACGGUCCAGACUCCUACGGGAGGCAGCAGUGGGGAAUAUUGCACAAUGGGCGCAAGCCUGAUGCAGCCAUGCCGCGUGUAUGAAGAAGGCCUUCGGGUUGUAAAGUACUUUCAGCGGGGAGGAAGGGAGUAAAGUUAAUACCUUUGCUCAUUGACGUUACCCGCAGAAGAAGCACCGGCUAACUCCGUG